CAAGAUUAGAGACCACCCGAAGGAAUUAUAAAACUGCAGGUGUGACAUCGAAAUUGGCAGUUUGAAAAGCAGUCGUUUGUCACGUCUGUCGAAUAUCCGGGCGAGGCGACAAAUUCCUCCCGGUAUAUGGGUUGUCCUUGUAU
ensembl:ncRNA F52E4.13 ncRNA